AUUGAACGCUGGCGGCAGGCCUAACACAUGCAAGUCGAACGGUAACAGGAAGCAGCUUGCUGCUUUGCUGACGAGUGGCGGACGGGUGAGUAAUGUCUGGGAAACUGCCCGAUGGAGGGGGAUAACUACUGGAAACGGUAGCUAAUACCGCAUAACGUCGCAAGCCCAAAGAGGGGGACCUUAGGGCCUCUUGCCAUCGGAUGUGCCCAGAUGGGAUUAGCUAGUAGGUGGGGUAACGGCUCACCUAGGCGACGAUCCCUAGCUGGUCUGAGAGGAUGACCAGCCACACUGGAACUGAGACACGGUCCAGACUCCUACGGGAGGCAGCAGUGGGGAAUAUUGCACAAUGGGCGCAAGCCUGAUGCAGCCAUGCCGCGUGUAUGAAGAAGGCCUUCGGGUUGUAAAGUACUUUCAGCGGGGAGGAAGGGAGUAAAGUUAAUACCUUUGCUCAUUGACGUUACCCGCAGAAGAAGCACCGGCUAACUCCGU
rnacentral:rRNA from 1 species